rnacentral:rRNA from 1 species
UACAGAGGUCUCAAGCGUUGUUCGGAUUCAUUGGGCGUAAAGGGUGCGUAGGUGGUGAUGCAAGUCUGGUGUGAAAUCUCGGAGCUCAACUCCGAAAUUGCACCGGAUACUGCGUGACUCGAGGACUGUAGAGGAGAUCGGAAUUCACGGUGUAGCAGUGAAAUGCGUAGAUAUCGUGAGGAAGACCAGUUGCGAAGGCGGAUCUCUGGACAGUUCCUGACACUGAGACACGAAGGCCAGGGGAGCAAACGGG